CAGUCGCCGCGGGAAUACGAGGGGGGCAAGCGUUGUUCGGAAUUAUUGGGCGUAAAGGGUGCGUAGGCGGUUUGAUAAGUUUGAUGUGAAAUCUCUGGGCUCAACCUGGGAAUGGCAGUGGAUACUGGCUCGCUAGAGUGUGUCAGAGGAUGGUGGAAUUCCCGGUGUAGCGGUGAAAUGCGUAGAGAUCGGGAGGAACAUCAGUGGCGAAGGCGGCCAUCUGGGACAACACUGACGCUGAGGCACGAAAGCGUGGGGAGCAAACAGGAUUAGAUACCCCGGUAGUCCCUGUCUCUUAUAC
rnacentral:rRNA from 1 species